AUUGAACGCUGGCGGCAAGCCUAACACAUGCAAGUCGAACGAGUGGCGGACGGGUGAGUAAUGUCUGGGAAACUGCCUGAUGGAGGGGGAUAACUACUGGAAACGGUAGCUAAUACCGCAUACCAUCGGAUGUGCCCAGAUGGGAUUAGCUAGUAGGUGGGGUAAAGGCUCACAUAGGCGACGAUCCCUAGCUGGUCUGAGAGGAUGACCAGCCACACGGGAACGGGGACACGGUCCCGACGCCGACGGGAGGUAGCAGUGGGGAAUAGUGGACAAUGGGGGCAAGCCUGAUGCAGACGUGCCGCGUGUAUGAAGAAGGCCUUCGGGUUGUAAAGUACUUUCAGCGGGGAGGCGUUACCCGCAGAAGAAGCACCGGCUAACUCCGUGCCAGCCGCCGCGGUAAUUC
rnacentral:rRNA from 1 species